AGCUCCAUUAGCGUAUAUUAAAGUUGUUGCAGUUAAAAAGCUCGUAGUUGGAUUUCAGUACGGGCCAGUCGGUCGGCCGCAAGGCCUGCUACUGGCUGGUCUGUUCUUCUUCUCAAAGACUGCGUGUGCUCUUCGCUGAGUGUGCGUAGGAUUUGGGACGUUUACUUUGAAAAAAUUAGAGUGCUCAAAGCAAGCAAUGGCUUGAAUAGUCGUGCAUGGAAUGAUGGAAUAGGGCCUCGGUUCUAUUUUGUUGGUUUCCCGAAUUCGAGGUAAUGAUUAAUAGGGACGGACGGGGGCAUUUGUAUUGCGACGUUAGAGGUGAAAUUCUUAGAUCGUCGCAAGACAAACUACUGCGAAAGCAUUUGCCAAGAAUGUUUUCAUUAAUCAAGAACGAAAGUAG
rnacentral:rRNA from 1 species